rnacentral:rRNA from 1 species
UAACGCGUGAGGAACCUGCCUUUCAGAGGGGGACAACAGUUGGAAACGACUGCUAAUACCGCAUAACGCAUAGGUGUCGCAUGGCAUUUAUGUCAAAGAUUUAUCGCUGAAAGAUGGCCUCGCGUCUGAUUAGCUAGUUGGUGAGGUAACGGCUCACCAAGGCGACGAUCAGUAGCCGGACUGAGAGGUUGGCCGGCCACAUUGGGACUGAGAUACGGCCCAGACUCCUACGGGAGGCAGCAG